ACAACCUUUGUCAGCAUACACAUCACAUUAUAACAAAUAGCUUCUGUAAAGUAUACCAGAUAUUCUACAUACCAGAUAUUCUACAAACGAAUUGUUUAAUUGAGAAUAAGAUGAAACAAGUUGGUUGGUUUAAUACGGAUUGGAUUCAAGUUCAAAUCAAUAUAACAAAAUUGGUAGGCGAACAAACCGUUUUUGUAAUAGAUUUACGUCGAUUCUGUUUUUCCAAUCAAAUUUUAAAUGUAAUAUUGCUAAUACUAUUGGCUCUACUUUUGUCGAGACUUUGGGAAAACAAACCAGAUAUUAAGCUUAAAAAUCCAAGGCGAAAUCGAACUGUAGAAAUAAUAUUCUUGUUUUUAAAUAUUACUUGGGUUUUACUUUAUUGUUUGCUAAUCACUGAGAGUUUAUUUUGGCUACUUUCUUCUUCUUACUUCAAGACAAGUUCAAGAACUUUGAUUCUAUAUCAUCUUUUUGUUAUAUUCGGUUAUCAUAUUAUAGA